rnacentral:rRNA from 1 species
UACGUAGGGUGCAAGCGUUAUCCGGAAUUAUUGGGCGUAAAGAGCGCGUAGGCGGUCCGAUAAGUCGGCUGUGAAAGUCAGGGGCUCAACCCUUGGAAGCCGGCCGAUACUGUCGGACUAGAGUCCGGAAGAGGCAAGUGGAAUUCCCGGUGUAGCGGUGAAAUGCGCAGAUAUCGGGAGGAACACCAAUGGCGAAGGCAGCUUGCUGGGACGGUACUGACGCUGAGGCGCGAAAGCGUGGGGAGCAAACAGG